rnacentral:rRNA from 1 species
CAGCGCCGCGGUAAUACGUAGGGUGCAAGCGUUAAUCGGAAUUACUGGGCGUAAAGCGUGCGCAGGCGGUUUGUUAAGACGGAUGUGGAAUCCCCGGGCUCAACCUGGGAACUGUAUUCGUGACUGGCAAGCUAGAGUAUGGCAGAGGGGGGUGGAAUUCCACGUGUAGCAGUGAAAUGCGUAGAGAUGUGGAGGAACACCGAUGGCGAAGGCAGCCCCCUGGGCCAAUACUGACGCUCAUGCACGAAAGUGUGGGGAGCAAACAGGAUUAGAUACCCCCGUAGUCCCUGUCUCUUAUACC